GCCGGUUAUGCCAUUUACCAUAUGAGUGAUGCAGAUUUGAUGUUUGGAGGGAUAACAAUAGUAUGCGGAAUUUUUGGAACAUUAGCUGGUGGUUAUGUUCUUGACCAUAUGCAAGCUACGAUCUCAAAUGCAUUUAAGCUCCUUUCAGGGGCAACACUUCUAGGAGGGAUUUUUUGUUUCACAGCUUUUUGCUUCAAGAGCAUCUACGGGU
rnacentral:misc_RNA from 1 species